rnacentral:snRNA from 1 species
GUACUUGCUUUGGCAGCACACAUACUAAAACUGGAAUGAUACAGAGAAUACUAGCUUGGCCCCUGUGCAAGGAUGACACGCAAAUUCAUGAAGCAUUCCAUAUUUCA